rnacentral:rRNA from 1 species
AUUGAACGCUGGCGGCAGGCCUAACACAUGCAAGUCGAGCGAGCGGCGGACGGGUGAGUAAUGUCUGGGAAACUGCCUGAUGGAGGGGGAUAACUACUGGAAACGGUAGCUAAUACCGCAUAACAUCAGAUGUGCCAAGAGGGGAUUAGCUAGUAGGUGGGGUAACGGCUCACCUAGGCGACGAUCCCUACCUGGUCUUAGAGGAUGACCAGCCAAACUGGAACUUGGACACGGUCCAGACCCCUACGGGAGGCAGCAGUGGGGAAUAUUGCACAAUGGGCGCAAGCCUGAUGCAGCCAUGCCGCGUGUGUGAAGAAGGCCUUCGGGUUGUAAAGCACUUUCAGCGGGGAGGCGUUACCCGCAGAAGAAGCACCGGCUAACUCCGUGCCAGCAGCCGCGGUAAUAC